rnacentral:rRNA from 1 species
GACGAACGCUGGCGGCGUGCUUAACACAUGCAAGUCGAACGGAGGAUUUAUUUCGGUAAAUCCUUAGUGGCGAACGGGUGAGUAACGCGUGGGCAAUCUGCCCUUCAGAUGGGGACAACAUCCCGAAAGGGGUGCUAAUACCGAAUACGAUCACGCUGCCGCAUGGCGGUGUGAUGAAAGAUGGCCUCUAUUUAUAAGCUAUCGCUGAAGGAUGAGCCUGCGUCUGAUUAGCUAGUUGGUGGGGUAACGGCCUACCAAGGCGAUGAUCAGUAGCCGGUCUGAGAGGAUGAGCGGCCACAUUGGGACUGAGACACGGCCCAAACUCCUACGGGAGGAAGCAGUGGGGAAUAUUCCGCAAUGGACGAAAGUCUGACGGAGCAACGCCGCGUGAGUGAUGAAGGUUUUCGGACUGUAAAGAUCUGUUGUUUAGGACGAAAGUGCCUGUUGCAAAUAGUUACAGGUAUUGACGGUACUGAACGAGGAAGCCACGGCUAACUACGUGCCAGCCGCCGCGGUAA